UAGGUAAUAAAUUACUGCCAUGGAAGCUUUGACCAACACUCCCAUCAAACUAUGCAAAAAUGCACCGGAAGCAAACAAAAGAGAGAGAGGGAGAGAGAGAGGGAGAAAGCUUAACAUCCACCAACAAGUUACAAACCCCAGCAGAUGACUGGUCACUCAUUAAUAAAUACUCUGUAGUGGCUCUUUUAAGUAGAAAAAUAAAUAAAAACAUAAAGCACCCUCAAUAACAGUAAAGCCAACUCAAAUAACAACUGUCGUAAGUUGUGGUCAAACUUCUUAACACACACUUACGUUUACUGGGAACUAGUUGCCACCAACAUGAUUGUAAGCCAAAAGUGUAAAGGUAGUUGUUUUUUAAGGGUGUGUUUUUAUUUUAAAACUAACACGAUGUGUUAAUUUAUGUAUUUAUGUGUAUGCUAGCGUGACGCUGGUGGAAAAUCUACAACAAUCUAGACAAUUGUUGUAUUGUAACUUAACGACGAACAAUUUAACGACGAACAAUUUAACUUACAACUCAAGGGCUCUCGUGCAACUACCACAACGUCGUGUGUAACUUAGCUACAAGUGUCAAGACGAUCGUAAAGCACUUCUACCUUAAAUUAAUUAAUUAAAAUGUAUUUCCAGGCAGUAGCAGCUAAACAGGGGUUGGACGACAAGUCUGUUUCACAUAACUCCAAAAACACCCAUUGUUUAAUUAUUCAGCCUGGGAGCUGUCAAACUAGCUUAGCUGGCUAGCCUGGUCAGCUAGCUACCCACCCAGUCAACAGGCUACAUAAUUAGCUUGUUAGCCAAGCAGGUUAGCAUGCGCUUUCGGAGAAAACGAACAAAUGACAAGCGCAGUCACACCAUAUCAUUUUAGUUACAGUUUAGCUGAACGACAAGGCAAGAAGAACUGUAAGAAAAACAAGACACCCACACUUAAAACAAGAAGUAUGGUGUUUGUAAAAGUCAGUUAACUAAUUCGCUAGUAGCAUACAGGCUAGCUAACUUGUAAAGAAUGACGUGACGUCAAAGUUUUGGGUACGUGUCUCUUUCAAACAGCUUCCUGCACUAUUGGAAUGGGUGCUCUUCUUUGUCCAGAUGAACUCCAGCUUCCCCCAAACUAUGGGCUGCAUCACAGACAGCGGGUCACCACCCCAUGUGUUCACCAUCCCUCCUCAUCUGGCAUUCAGGCAUGCUACAGUGACCCAGUGAUGCUGUGUGACAGGCCAGGCAGGGCACUGGCUGUUUGUGUCAAUCCAGAUCAAUCACUCCCUCUUCUGGACGGACAACGUCAUCAACGUGCAGAAAGGUCACGGAGUGUACUCAAACCAGGCCUUAUGUGGAGUGCAGGGAGGUCAGCAUAGCAAGUGAACACCCUUGAAAGACUGUGUAUUAUAUUUAAUAGACACGAUUGGCUCAUGAGUUACCUGUAUAUGUAUUCCAGAGGGUCAUUUUUAUUUGGGAUGAAUUAAAUGAUUGGCAGUA